AACGUAGGAGGCAAGCGUUAUCCGGAGUUACUGGGCGUAAAGCGCAUGUAGGCGGUUGGGCAAGUGGCGUGUGAAAGCUCCCGGCUAAACUGGGAGAGGACACGUCAGACUGCUCGGCUAGAGGUCGGUAGAGGGGCGCAGAAUUCGGGGUGUAGCGGUGAAAUGUGAAGAGAUCCCGAGGAAUACCAGUGGUGAAGACGGCGCCCUGGGCCGAACCUGACGCUGAGAUGCGAAAGCGUGGGGAGCGAACGGG
rnacentral:rRNA from 1 species